GAGCAGGAAGAGCCAUCAAAGGGUUUUGAGCAGAUUAGCAAAUUGAUCUGAUUUACAUGUAAACACCUGGUGCUGCUCUGUUGAAAACAGAUGGCAGGGCUGCAGCAUCAGGAAGACCAAUUCGAGACCUCUUCAGGGUCCAGGUAAGAGACAGGAAGGUGGCUUAGGGUGCUAUUGGAGGAGGUGGUGAGGAAGGAUUAGCAUCUGUAUAUAUUUUGAAUGAGGAACCAACAGGAUUUAUGAACAGAUCAAUUGGGAAGUGUAGGAGAGAGACGUAAAUGAAAGAGAAAUAAAAAUGAGUUAAUAGGGCUGGGUGCAGUGGCUCACACCUGUAAUCCCAGCAUUUUGGGAGGCCAAAAUGGGUGGAUUGCUUGAAAAAAUUAGCAGGGUGUGGUGUCGGGCACCUGUAAUCCCAGCUACUUGGGAGGCUGAGGCAGGAAAAUCGCUUGAACCUGGGAGGCGGAGGUUGCAGUGAGUCGAGAUCACGUCACUGCACUCCAGCCUGGGCAAUAAGAGCAAAACUCCGUCUCAAAUAAAAAAUGAAUUCGUAGAUGUUAAACGUUUAGCAUAGCACCUGGCAAACGGAGACCACUGACUACUUUUAAGUUGUUAUUAUUAUUCCUACUUUCUGUUAUGAGAGUCAUAGAAGAUAAUGUAUGGAACCUGUCGGUCAGAGUCAGGUGGCUGCGCGCUCUGCAAUCCUGAAGGCAGGCCUGAGAGCUACGUUAAGAUGUAAAUGUAAUUUACUUUGCGAGGAGGGUCGGGGUCACGCUCCCUUUCCCAGGACCUCAGAGGUCUGAGAGGUCACGGCUGGUGUGGGCUGCAGUGGAAUCCUGCCUCUUCCGUGUGAAGGUCAGUCCUGAAAGGGGGUUGGGGUGAGGUGGCUUGUGAGGGAAGGGGUUUGAGGAGGCUAAGGGAGGAGGAGUGCGGGAGAAGAAGUUAAGAAUUGGAAGAUUCACACGGUGGCUUAUGUUAGGGGGACAUCGUGAGAUUAAGGGUCAGCACGGAAAGUGAUUUGAGCGUUGGGCUAGGAGAAUUCUCUCUUCCUUGAGUUGUAAAUUUUUUCAGAUUUUACCUUUAUAUUUUGGCUAGUUUGGUUAAUAAUUUGGCUAAUCAGUGAGAACACAAUAAAUAUGAGUUGUUCACAAAAGCUGUGGACUUUAAAGAUGGCGAUUCCGAGCCCUGGGAGGCUCAGCCCGGCUCUUCCUGGAGUCCUGUUCAUCUCCUCCUCACACUUUUAGACUAGAAGGAUCUCAAACACAUGCGCUUCAAAAUGCUGACUAGGUUUGCCUCUGCCUGUGCAUUUUCAAAGGUAAGAUGAGAGAAUCUGAGGGCAUUUAUAAUAAUACUAAAACUCUCACAGCCCUUACCUCGGCCCACGCACUGUUCUAAAUGCCUUAGAUAUAGUAACUCAUUUAAUUCCUCAUAAAUACCUCUUUGAGGUAAGAAGUAAUAUGUCUGUUUUACAGUUAGAGAAACUGAAUCACAGAAAAGCUAAGUAAUUUCACCAAGGUCACACAGCUAGUAAAUGACAGAAUUG
rnacentral:lncRNA from 1 species